GGCCCAGUAGCUCAGCCGGUCAGAGCAGCGGACUCAUAAUCCGUCGGUCGCGGGUUCAAGCCCCGCCUGGGCUACCA
rnacentral:tRNA from 3 species